rnacentral:lncRNA from 1 species
CCAAGUGUAUGGUGGAUAUCAACCUCAUUUUGCAUGAGCUACACUAUAAAUAGCAGGUCAGAACCUGGUAAUUGAAUCAUCAAGAGUGAACCAGCUUGAGCAAAUUCAGUUUCUAAGCAAAAGCUUUCCAGGCCCCUUUAUCCUAUUUUACCUGCAGAAAAUGUCUGGCUGUAGCUGUGGCUCUGACUGCAAGUGUGGCAGUGGCUGCAAGUAAUUACUAGUUCUUUUCUUGUCAAGAUUCUACUAAUUAGUCCCUUUAAAGAUACUGAAAAGGGCACCAAUAGAUUAGUUACUUAUAUUCUCUCUUUUUUCUCCUUGAAUUUCAUUAGACUAUAGUCUGAAACUCACUUUUCUGUGGUUGCAAUCUUCUUGUGCUUGGCAGAUGUGGCAUGUACCCUGACUUAGGUUUCUCAGAGAACACCACAACUGAGACAAUCAUUGCAGGUGUUGCACCAGUUAAGAUGUAUGUAUCACACAAUUCAUAUACUAUUAUUUUCAUGCAUCAAAGUUUUACUAAGUCCCAGAAGGUGGCUCUGACUCACUGGGAUUCCAGUGAUUAAAGAUUUGGAUUUCCAAUUAAUAUUCUACUCUUAUAUUUAAGAUCCAAAAAUGUUGUCUGAAUAAUAUAGUAUUUUAGAACACAAAUGUUGUGUUUACUGAUAUUGUUCUGCUAUUUCUGCAGGUUCUAUGAGAGGUCUGAGAUGGACUUCGGUGCUGAGAAUGGCUGCAAGUGUGGAUCAAACUGCACCUGUGAUCCAUGCUCCUGCAAAUGAGGACACAUGGACAUGGUUCCAACAAAGCAGUAGUUAAUCUAUCAGUUGGUCAGCUCAUGUUUGUAUAAUGGUGCUUGUUGUUAAAUAAUAAUAAACAGCAAAGGGUUCCUAUAAAUCCUUUGUCUUGUGUACGCGUCACUGCUUUGUUGGCUGCUUCAACUUUCAAGGUGUUUUCAUGUAUGCUUGGAAACUUGAACUAUGUGGAGUUGAUGAUUAUUAAUGAAAAUGCUUAAUUAGUUUCUGUUUUAAUGGUUGUAAACCUUUUCUUCUCUUUUACCUAUAGAUCAUAGACUUCUUCUUACCUGCUUUGACA